CAGUCGCCACGGUAAUACGAAGGGGGCUAGCGUUGCUCGGAAUGACUGGGCGUAAAGGGCGCGUAGGCGGCGGCCAAAGUCAGGCGUGAAAUUCCCGGGCUCAACCUGGGGGCUGCGUUUGAUACUUGGUUGCUUGAGUGGGGAAGAGGGUCGUGGAACUCCCAGUGUAGAGGUGAAAUUCGUAGAUAUUGGGAAGAACACCGGUGGCGAAGGCGGCGACCUGGUCCUUUACUGACGCUGAGGCGCGAAAGCGUGGGGAGCAAACAGGAUUAGAUACCCCUGUAGUCCCUGUCUCUUAUAC
rnacentral:rRNA from 1 species